rnacentral:rRNA from 1 species
UCAAGGAAGAAGUUUUGACGGUACUUGAGGAAUAAGCAUCGGCUAACUCUGUGCCAGCAGCCGCGGUAAUACAGAGGAUGCAAGCGUUAUCCGGAAUCACUGGGCAUAAAGCGUCUGUAGGUGGUUUGAUAAGUCUGCUGUUAAAGACUAGGGCUUAACCCUAGGAAAGCAGUGGAAACUGUUAGACUUGAGUAUGGUAGAGGUAGAGGGAAUUCCUAGUGUAGCGGUGAAAUGCGUAGAUAUUAG